UGAGUGUGUGUGUGUGUGAGUGUGUGUGUUUGUGUGUGUGUGAGUGUGUGUGUGUGUGUGUGAGUGUGUGUGUGUGUGUGUGAGUGUGUGUGUGUGUGUGUGUGUGUGUGAGUGUGUGUGUGUGUGUGUGUGUAUAAACUACACUAACUUGGCCUCUAAAUGCGGCGGCGGCUCUUUGGCUGCCACGGUAACAUCAAGCGCUUCAUGAAUAUUAACGAGCGUCUUUUGUGCAUUCAUUAACAUUCAUGAUGUUUUCUUGUGCAGGCGGCGAGAAGGCUUCACCUGCUUCCAGCUCCGACCUGUAGCUCCGCCCACUGCUCAUGAAUAUUAAUGAGGGCGAGACGAGGACAAAAAGUGAACUAACUUUUAUUGGUUUUUAUUCUGCUCAUUGAUUUCUCAGCAGAGAGUCAAAGAUGGAAAAAUCUGCAGAUCUGUACGUGAGGCCGACGCUCUGACCUUUACUUAAGAGCUGUCAAUCAAAGUGAGAGACGGACGCACGGCGAGGGAGGUGAAGGGAGACGGACGCACGGCGAGGGAGGUGAUGGGAGACGGACGCACGGCGAGGGAGGUGAAGGGAUUUAUUGUCCUCGUACUGAAAUGGUUUUUAAUUUACACACACAGACCGCCACAGGAAGUUAAUCUGCCUCAGAUAAGACUCCUGAAAUCUUCCAGACCUCCAUAUUUCCAUAAUCUUCUUCGUAUUCCGACAUGAACAACCUCGACUCAUCCGUCUCCAUCACGCCGCUGGCCUCCGAGACAUUACCAUAAUCCAUAGAGCGCGCAGCGACUUCCUGUUUACACCACUCCACGCUGAGAGGGAGAGAUAGCAGUCACCAUGGCAACAACAUCCAUCGACCUGCUCGUCUGUUCAUUUGUCCAUCAGUGUUUUCCAAUUUUUUAACCUGCAGACAGACGCCGUCACGGCGCCAUCACGCCGCAGUCACGCCGCCAUCACGCCGCCAUCACGCCGCACUAAGUACAGCUCCAAUGAGAUCCGUAGUCAAGGAAACAGGCGUUUUGUUUCUGUGGAGGUCAUUUUUUCUGUUUUUU